UCAACCAUGGCCAGCAAAUUGAGACUGAAAAUGGACCUGAUUAGCCAUCUCCUUGUGUCUGUUGUUCUUAGGACUCUGCAAUUUCUCCUGGAAGAACUGUAGUUUAUUUUCCUGUUUGUGGAAUCUGGGCCUUAUGAUUUGUUCUGACCAGUGGGAUGUGGCAGGCCUGUAAUCUCAGCAAUUGGGAGGCUGAGGCAGGAGAAGUGAUGAGGAGUCACUUCUAAGUCCAGAUGUCUAGAAGCCCUUCUUGCAUCCUACUUUUUGGAACUCUCUCUCCACUGCACACCCUGCUAGAGGACGGAAGACCAUGUCAUGAAAGUGCAUUUGUCCCUGCUAAAGCUAUGGUAGGCCAGUUUAUACCAAUGGACUGCUAUAGUUUGUGAGUGAUGAGCUUACAGCUGCCUGCUCAACCUACCACUGAGUGUGGAUACCUGGGUUCCUUUCCCACACGGGGAAAUGAUCUGGACCCAACGCGCUGUCUUCUACCAUGAAAAUAAUUUGUCCUGAUGCCUUUACUUCCCAUCUGCAGGAAUCAUACCACCCACUGUCCACUGUCAUGGAAACAGAAGGUGGAAAAGAAGUUUCUUCAGCCUGGAUCCCUCAGAGACACAGAUAAGCAGAAUUUUCAAGCUGGCAGGCCAUGGA